CAGCCUCACCCUUCCUAGCAGCCAGAGGAGGAGCAACCUGGGCGAUGCUGGUCAUGGCAUCUGACAGACCAGAGGGACCCGUCUUUGUUUUAAACCCAUACUGUGACAUGCAAGUCCUUACAAGCUGCUGAGAGUCCUGUGGCCUUUUCAAAGGCAGGGGACCCCUUCCGGAGCUCUGUGUCCAGAGCCCAGUUUCAGACAAACUGUGCGUGGCUGUUUCUUAGGGAUCUCUGGGGACAGGGCCCACUCCAAGCACCAAGGAUGCACGAACUGGCAGCUGCAUGGACACCACCACCCCCCCCAGGCUCCUGAGCGGUGCCUGCAGUUGCCACCUGUGCUUCACACAUGAGGAGGGGACAGCUGGAUCAGGAACCGCCACACACAGCCCAGGAGAUUGGGGAACUUGGCCUCAGGGGUCUCACACCAGCUCAGCAACCCCCUCAGCUAAAUGGCCCCAGUGAGAGGCCACCUUGGCGGGGAACCAGAGGGAAGGGCUGAGCUGAGAACGAGGAUGCAGGAUCCAUUCAGUCGCCUGCUUGAUGUUCCUAGAGAAAGAUCCUGAAGUGCAGCGAGGCACUGUCGGAAGACCCAAGAAGACAUCUUGGGGAAAGUGAAUAAAAGAGAUUCCUGCCAAUGUGAGUUUCAAAAUGCACGGUGCUAAAUCAACUUUAGCCUAAAGCUGCCUCCUUACAUAUUUUAAGUUCAGCCUAAAGGUUUUUCUGCAUAUUGUCAACUAUAACAAGUGGAGGUGUAAACAGGCCAGAGCCUACACUUGUGCCUAUCACUGAGAUUUGGCCGAUCACAUGUAGCCAGCUGUUUGAACUGUGUUCAAAUAAGGCAAACGCCAACCUGUAACAAUCCGGCUGUGUCUGGGCCUCACUUCCAUCUUCUGUGCAUUACUUUCCUUUUUCUGUCCAAAAUUAUUCUUCUGCCCGAGGCUGCACUGGAGUCCUGGAGCCUACUAUGGCUGGGAAGGCUGCCUGAUUCACAAAUCAUCCAUUGUUCAAUUAAAUUCCUUUACAUUUAAUUUGGCUGAAGUUUUUCUUUU